GCCUUUGAAUAGUAUUCAGCCUUGG
rnacentral:piRNA from 1 species